rnacentral:rRNA from 1 species
UACGAGGGGGGCAAGCGUUGUUCGGAUUUAUUGGGCGUAAAGGGUGCGUAGGCGGUUUGGCAAGUCUUGUGUGAAAUCUUUGGGCUCAACCCAAAGUCUGCAUAAGAAACUGCCGGGCUUGAGUAUGGGAGAGGUGAGUGGAAUUCCGAGUGUAGAGGUGAAAUUCGUAGAUAUUCGGAAGAACACCAGUGGCGAAGGCGGCUCACUGGACCGGUAUUGACGCUGAGGUGCGAAAGCGUGGGGAGCAAACAGG